rnacentral:lncRNA from 12 species
AUGGCAACUGGCUACUGUCAAACAGAGGCACUGCGAGGAUGGCAGCACAGGACUGAUAUGAUCAGCAAUUUUAGUCUGUCCGUGAAUUCCAAGCUGCUGGAGGGGUCACAUGGUGGCAGGAAGGCCAACACAAAAAGCCCUGCACUAAUCAGACAUGCUUGUAAUGAAACUCCACCUUCAGGUACCUCCUGCACCCAUCCUUAGACUGGUGAUGACCUACACUACUUAAAGACAAAU